rnacentral:rRNA from 1 species
GCUUGUCUCAAAGAUUAAGCCAUGCAUGUCUAAGUACAAGCCUCAGUAAGGUGAAACCGCGAAUGGCUCAUUAAAUCACACCUAAUCUACUGGAAAGUUACUAGUUACUUGGAUAACUGAGGUAAUUCUUGAGCUAAUACAUGCGAAAAAUCUCGACUCACGGAGAGAUGCUUUUAUUAGAUCAAAACCAAACGGCUUCGGCCGUCUCAUUGGUGACUCUGAAUAACUUUGGGCUGAUCGUAUGGCCUUGUGCCGACGACGUUUCCUUCGAAGGUGUGCCCUAUCAGCUUCCGACGGUAAGGUAUUGGCUUACCGUGGCAAUGACGGGUAACGGAGAAUUAGGGUUUGAUUCCGGAGAGGGAGCCUGAGAAACGGCUACCACAUCUAAGGAAGGCAGCAGG